rnacentral:rRNA from 1 species
CAGACUCCUACGGGAGGCAGCAGUAGGGAAUCUUCCGCAAUGGACGAAAGUCUGACGGAGCAACGCCGCGUGAGUGAUGAAGGUUUUCGGAUCGUAAAGCUCUGUUGUUAGGGAAGAACAAGUGCAAGAGUAACUGCUUGCACCUUGACGGUACCUAACCAGAAAGCCACGGCUAACUACGUGCCAGCAGCCGCGGUAAUACGUAGGUGGCAAGCGUUGUCCGGAAUUAUUGGGCGUAAAGGGCUCGCAGGCGGUUUCUUAAGUCUGAUGUGAAAGCCCCCGGCUCAACCGGGGAGGGUCAUUGGAAACUGGGAAACUUGAGUGCAGAAGAGGAGAGUGGAAUUCCACGUGUAGCGGUGAAAUGCGUAGAGAUGUGGAGGAACACCAGUGGCGAAGGCGACUCUCUGGUCUGUAACUGACGCUGAGGAGCGAAAGCGUGGGGAGCGAACAGGAUUAGAUACCCUGGUAGUCCACGCCGUAAACGAUGAGUGCUAAGUGUUAGGGGGUUUCCGCCCCUUAGUGCUGCAGCUAACGCAUUAAGCACUCCGCCUGGGGAGUACGGUCGCAAGACUGAAACUCAAAGGAAUUGACGGGGGCCCGCACAAGCGGUGGAGCAUGUGGUUAAUUCAAAGC